GCCAGACUCCUACGGGAGGCAGCAGUGGGGAAUAUUGCACAAUGGGGGAAACCCUGAUGCAGCGACGCCGCGUGAGUGAAGAAGUAUUUCGGUAUGUAAAGCUCUAUCAGCAGGAACGAGACAAGACGGUACCUGACUAAGAAGCCCCGGCUAACUACGUGCCAGCAGCCGCGGUAAUACGUAGGGGGCAAGCGUUAUCCGGAAUCACUGGGUGUAAAGGGAGCGUAGACGGCUGAGCAAGCCUGAAGUGAAAGGCGGGGGCCCAACCCCCGGACUGCUUUGGGAACUGUACGGCUGGAGUGCAGGAGAGGUAAGUGGAAUUCCUAGUGUAGCGGUGAAAUGCGUAGAUAUUAGGAGGAACACCAGUGGCGAAGGCGGCUUACUGGACUGUAACUGACGUUGAGGCUCGAAAGCGUGGGGAGCAAACAGGAUUAGAUACCCUUGUAGU
rnacentral:rRNA from 1 species